AUGACAUGUUGUGUUAUUCUUCGUAACAUGAUUCUCGAAGAUGAGAGAGGCAUGGACUUGGAAUUCUUCUACGACAAUGUGGGCAGUUGUGUCAAACCAGCUAGAGACCCUAACCGCAUUAGAGCUUUUCUUCAAACAUACAAGGAGAUUAAAAAUGCAAACACCCACUUUCAGCUUCAGGAGGAUCUCAUUGAGCACCAUUUGGCAAAUGGCUGGACAGUAACAAACUCAUUUUUCCAUUCAUUUGUAUUUGUAUUUGUAUUCAGGACAAGUUUUCUAUUGCAUUGUUUGUAUUUGUAUUUGAUGAUUUGA
rnacentral:rRNA from 1 species